AGAACGAACGCUGGCGGCAGGCUUAACACAUGCAAGUCGAGCGCCCCGCAAGGGGAGCGGCAGACGGGUGAGUAACGCGUGGGAAUCUACCCAGCUCUACGGAAUAACCCAGGGAGACUUGGACUAAUACCGUAUACGUCCGAUAGGAGAAAGAUUUAUCGGAGUUGGAUGAGCCCGCGUUGGAUUAGCUAGUUGGUGGGGUAAUGGCCUACAAGGCGACGAUCCAUAGCUGGUCUGAGAGGAUGAUCAGCCACAUUGGGACUGAGACACGGCCCAAACUCCGUACGGGAGGCAGCAGUGGGGAAUAUGGACAAGUGGGCGAAAGCCUGAUCCAGCCAUCGCCGCGUGAGUGAUGAACGGCCGUAGGUUGUAAAGCUCUUUACGAACGGUAGAAGUAUAAGU
rnacentral:rRNA from 1 species